rnacentral:rRNA from 1 species
AACGAACGCUGGCGGCGUGGAUAAGACAUGCAAGUGGAACGCCGAUGGUCUCGUAGCAAUACGAAACCCUCGGAGUCGCGUAAGGGUGCGUAACGCGUGGGUAAUCUACCCUGAAGACCGGCAUAACUUCGAGAAAUCGAAGCUAAUUCCGGAUGUGAUUUUCGAGGGGCAUCUCUUGAAACUCAAAGUCGGGGACCGAACGGCCUGACGCUUCAGGAGGAGCCCGCGUCCCAUCAGCUCGUUGGCGAGGUAACGGCUCACCAAGGCUAAGACGGGUAGCUGGUCUGAGAGGACGGCCAGCCACACUGGAACUGAGACACGGUCCAGACACCUACGGGUGGCAGCAGUCGAGAAUCUUUCACAAUGGGCGAAAGCCUGAUGGAGCGACGCCGCGUGGGGGAUGAAGGGCUUCGGCCUGUAAACCCCUGUCAUUCGCGACCAACCCGUGCGGCCUAACACGUCGCACGCUGAUGGUAGCGAAAGAGGAAGGGACGGCUAACUCUGUGCCAGCAGCCGCGGUAAGACAGAGGUCCCAAGCGUUGUUCGGAUUCACUGGGCGUAAAGGGUGUGUAGGCGGUUGGAUAAGUCGGUUGUGAAAUCUCCAAGCUUAACUUGGAAACGGCAACCGAAACUGUCCUGCUAGAGGGAUGGAAGGGAGACUGGAAUUCUCGGUGUAGCAGUGAAAUGCGUAGAUAUCGAGAGGAACACCAGUGGCGAAGGCGAGUCUCUGGACAUCUCCUGACGCUGAGGCACGAAAGCCAGGGAAGCAAACGGGAUUAGAUACCCCCGGUAGUCCUGGCCCUAANCGGUGCACGUUUGCCGUGGGCGGAUUCGACCCUGUCCGUGGCGAAGCUAACGCGUUAAACGUGCCGCCUGGGGAGUACGNCCGCAAGGUUAAAACUCAAAGAAAUUGACGGGGGCCUGCACAAGCGGUGGAGUAUGUGGCUUAAUUCGAUGCAACGCGAAGAACCUUACCUGGCCUUGACAUGCACGUGGUAGAAGCCCGAAAGGGUGACGACCCCGCAAGGGGAGCGUGCACAGGUGCUGCAUGGCUGUCGUCAGCUCGUGUCGUGAGAUGUUGGGUUAAGUCCCGCAACGAGCGCAACCCCCGUGUCCUGUUGCCAGCCGGCUGCUAAAGACCGGCGCACACUGGACAGACUGCCUCGCUACAACGGGGAGGAAGGUGGGGAUGACGUCAAGUCAGUAUGGCCCUUAUGGCCAGGGCUGCACACGUACUACAAUGCCCGGCACAAUGGGCUGCAAUGGUGUAAACCGGAGCAAAUCCUAAAAACCGGGCCCAGUUCAGAUUGUCGGCUGCAACUCGCCGGCAUGAAGUCGGAAUCGCUAGUAAUGGCGCAUCAGCUACGGCGCCGUGAAUACGUUCCCAGGCCUUGUACACACCGCCCGUCACAUCACGAAAGCCGGCUGUACCCGAAGUCGCCGCUCAGUGGUGCCGAAGGUAUGGCUGGUGAUUGGGAUG